GCUCAUAAUAACAUAUAUUGCAUUACACGUCUUGUCCAUUUCCCUAACGCGUCGAGAAAAGUCCCUGAACACUUCCACUGCACAUACCAAAUUCACCCUCGACAUUUGUAUCAGCACUCUAUAACACUCCCUUAUUAAGUCCACAACACUCCCUUAUUAAUUCUUAUCUGUAACCUUCCCCUCUUGAAUCACUAACUCCCCUUCCUUUACCUCACCUGUAUGAACUAAUGCGCGGUGCCACCUGCCCUGUCCAUCACUCCCAUCACUCCAGCACAUCUUGAAGCGGCGCUCACUCCUGCCGUUAGGAAUGUGGCCCAUCGAUCUGCCUUAGUGUCUGAGUGUGACUGCAGACUGACGGGGGAUGAGACCACCAACCUUACUGAGACUCGGAGUGGACAGCGACUGAAGGCAGGAAGGAAGGAAUGAAGGCAGGCAGGCAGAUGUAGCGGCUCCAGUCAGAAUUUACCUAAUUUCUUUUGCCAUUCGGAUACAUAUAUAGAAUAAAUAAUGGAAUAAAACGAGGAAGCCUGUGAAUUGA